rnacentral:lncRNA from 1 species
AUCAUGCCAUUAUAAUUGGCCUAAGGAAAGGCUCUAUGCAAGCUCACUAGCACCAAUGAGAAAGAAGAAGAACGGUGGGCAGUCAUGCCCUUCAGAAGCAGAUAUGACGUAAUCCAGGAGGGUUUGCCCUCUACUGUAGAUUAAGCCAACAGUUUAGCAACCUUGGGAAUGGCACCUCCACAGCAAAGACUUGCCAUUGGCUCAGAUAAUCUUCAUCAGGCAGAAUAGAACACUAAUUCUUAAUACUGGUGACUAAUGAGAAAUGCUAAACGAUUUUAAAUCUGAGAUUAUAUUUUCAUCCUUGUCUAAGUGUCUGGAACACUGUGAUUAUUUAAACCAGGGGUUUAAAUAAACCCUGAUUGUUAGCCAGAGAUUAUGAAGAUGAUGGGAUUUGUAGUCAGGAAACAUCUUGACUACAAAGAUGGAGAUGAAGUACAUUGUGUUCAACAUCUCCAUUUAAAUUGUGCCUGAAAGCUGACCAAUUUAUAUGUUAGAAGUCCUCUUUUGAUUAUUUCUUUCCAGGAUUGUUUUUGCUCUUUGAGAAUCCAUCUUCUUUUAAUGUGUUGCACCAGGACAGUGGUGGGAAACCUCUCCCCCCACCCCUGAAUCCAUCAGCUCUAGCUAGCAAAGUCAUUGGUUAGAGAUCAUGGGAAUGGCUGUCAAACAAGUUCUGGAAGGUCGCAGAUUACCCAUCUUUGAUUAGGGGGACUGGUUAGUGGUGCAAUUGGUUGAGAGACUGAGCUUGGAUGUGUUCCGGUGCAUAUGGACAAUCACACUAAAGACAUCAAGGAGGAGUCAAAUGGGUCAUCAGAUUGAUGGUGAAACCAUCUACAUCCUAGGUGCAUACCCUUUGGACCAAGUAAAAGGAUUUCACAAACAUUGGCAUUGCUUAUAGUGACUGUUCCUUGCCUUUUGUGUUCCACAGAUGGGCAGUAAGAGACAACUGUGAAUGGGAAGACAGAAAGUGAUAACUGCAUUCUUCUGUCCCACCCACUGGACUUCCAAACACCAUGGGAAUAAGGCAGUGUGGCAGAGGCUUCUCAUGGGAUCCCAUCAAACGUGGAAGACAAAACAGCAGGUAUUGCUUCAGAUAAGAGCAGUAGAAGUGUUCGGUGCCACUGCUUGCUGUGAUGGUCUUUUGGUCUAGGAUGACAGCAAAUGCAAAUAUGCAAUUUUAUGAGAUACCAAGACAGACUGUGAGCGGUUGGAAUGGCUUUUUAAAAAAUUUAAAUUGUUCUCAGCUGGGUAGAACUGAGCUAGAUAAAGAAUCACCCUGUAACAUCUGAACAUGUAUUAAUCAAAGAAAGAAAAUGUUGACUUUUAAAUGAAUGCAAGGAACUGGCAUCACUUUUCUCAAUGAGAAAA